UAGGGAAUCUUCCGCAAUGGACGCAAGUCUGACGGAGCAACGCCGCGUGAGUGAAGAAGGAUUUCGGUUCGUAAAACUCUGUUGUUAGAGAAGAACAGCGCAUAGAGUAACUGUUAUGCGUGUGACGGUAUCUAACCAGAAAGCCACGGCUAACUACGUGCCAGCAGCCGCGGUAAUACGUAGGUGGCAAGCGUUGUCCGGAUUUAUUGGGCGUAAAGCGAGCGCAGGCGGUCAAUUAAGUCUGAUGUGAAAGCCCCCGGCUCAACCGGGGAGGGUCAUUGGAAACUGGUUGACUUGAGUGCAGAAGAGGAGAGUGGAAUUCCAUGUGUAGCGGUGAAAUGCGUAGAUAUAUGGAGGAACACCAGUGGCGAAGGCGACUCUCUGGUCUGUAACUGACGCUGAGGUACGAAAGCGUGGGUAGCAAACAGG
rnacentral:rRNA from 1 species